CGGGAACUAUAUGCGGAGAAGAAAGGUUCCGCACUCCGCCUGCGUACCGCGGCGAGUGGAGAAAGGUUCCGGCCUCAGUCGGGAAGGCGGAAUCUCCACUCCAGACAGAGACGCUCAGUGUGUGUAUCCGCACCCGUUUCUUUUCGUUGCAGACUUAGGCGAGCUCAGACACUCGGAAACUUCCCGGUGCUUUUAGAACUGGGGUUCAAGUAACGGCAAGUAUCAUGAAGCCAGGAAGAUUGCUCCAUUACGAUUCUUUAGAAGGCGGGCUUUGGUUGACAGGUGGGAGGAAUACCACCUUUGUGACCUUUGGUGUCAAUGGUUCCCCUUGAGCAGCAAUGAACCAUCUGAGUCAGGAGCUAAGACAGGGUAAGUGUACAAGGAACAGAGUUAGAGGCCAGAGGCUUUUCUUCUCCAACCUUCAGCCCCCUUCAGUAAAGUGAAGCCAGUGUCUUUCUUGGAACGCACAGAGAAUUAAACAGAAGGCGCAUAUAAAACGUUUUCAUGUUUUUUGACUCUUAGCACAUGGCCAUUAGGCAUUGUCGUUGUUGAUAAUGUGGUUGCUCUCAGUCUUCUUACAAAUGAUGGGGAAAAGCUUAGAGCAGGCAUCCCAGCGCAGAGAUGAGGAGAGCUUGCAGGAACUUAUCAGUCACACCAAAGUGAAACAGACUGACCUUGAUCCUGGGUUAUGUUUCUCCUCAAUGUGUAGUGUUGAACAGUGCUCUCUUGAAUCAUAGUUAUCACAGAGAAAGAAGAGAGGGGAGUGGGAGAGAAUUGCUUAAAUUGACUAAAGUCAGCCAGUAAGAGUUUUCUAAAGGUUUGGCUCAUGUUCACUUUAUUUUUAUACACUUUUGACGAAAAUACAAUUAUACCACUUUCCCUCUUUCCCUUCCCUUUCCUCCCUCCAGCCCCCUCAAGUCCUCUCCAUCCAACUCCUUCCUUAUUCACCUAUUUAGUCUCAAAUUGAUAGCCUCUUCAUCCUGGAUUAUUAUUGUUACUUAUAUGUAGAAGUAUCAUGGAUAUCUAAGCCCAACGUGCCGAGUCUGUCUUUUGUUGUUUGUGUGUAUAUGGUUUCAAGGAUAAUCACUUUGUAAUGGACAGCCAAUUAGUGGGGCCAUCCCUGGGAUAGGCUAACUCCCCCUCUCUCAACAGUCAUAGUUGCCUAUAGCUCUGUAGAUUCUUGUCCAGGGUGACCCCGUGGUUCAGUUUUAAUUUGAUAUGGACUUUUCUGGUUUUCGUUUUCCUUAGAAAGGAAGCACACUGUGAUGUGUGCUAAAAUAGGGCUUUUAACAGUCAGCAAGAUGAAAAGCUAGUCUCAUACUAACCCUAGGAUCAUUUUGCCUUUACACUUGAACGUUCUAAUCAGUUGUAUGGUUGAGCUUUCCAGAGACACUGAUCUUACAAUAGGCUAAAUGCAGAGCAGCUGUCUUCCAUUAAGCCAGACUUAAAAGAGAAUUGCAAAAAAAUGCAAGUGCCAAUUCUUCUUAUUGAGUCCUUUAUUGUUUUGAAAACUAUUUCCUCUAUUAAAAUGUUUAUGUUAAUAUGUAAUAGAUGUACCCUGAUUAUUUUAGGUGGGUAAAUAUUUCUAAGUUGUCUAUUGUAAAUCAAAUAUAGUAACUAUCAAUAGAUAAAAAUUGAUACAAACAAAAAUUGUUUAAGACCAUGCAUAAUUUUGUAGGGAUAUAAAAUUUUUCCAAGAUCAAAUGUUUGAGAACCACAGUAUUAAGUACAUGUUUAGAAGAAAUAUAUGUCAAGGAAAUAUUCAUAUAACACAAAAGAAGUAAAAUAUUAUUUAACAUCCAGAGUAUAGCCACUUCAUCAUUACUGAAGAAAAGUGUCUAUUCAACUUGAGGAGGAGGAGGAUGCUUGUGUGAGUGUGUGUGUGGGUGUGCAUGCGUGCAUGGGAGGGAGGAGGAGGAAGAGAGAGAGAACAAAAGCUGUGCCAAUGAUUCUGCCUUUGCAUCUUACAUAAAUGGUGCUUUGUUUUAUGGAGACAUUAAUGAGUCUUUGGCUAUGCAAAGGUAAGCCUGGGGCAGAGUAAAUGGAAGGAGAAUUAAAUUGCCUUGCAUAACAAAGUGGAGGAGUUGAAUUAGGGAAAAGAAGAGAAAGCCAGAAUCUUGGAGGGAUCCAGGAAAUUAGAAAGUAGAUAAGUGGGAAAGGGUUUUAUAUAGGAGGGACACUGAGCUCCAUAAAAUAUUUUAGUGUGUGUGUGUGUCAUGCCUUGUAAGAGCCAUGUGUUUGGUGCAAUUUGGUGUGAGUAGAGAGGUGGGGAUGAGCCUCCAAGUUUUCUGGAUGAAUCUGUAAAAGCAGAGAAAGCUAUAGUGGAGGUGGGCCUCAUGUUCAUCCUCUGUUGAGCCUGCGGUCUCCAGACACUGGGGUUGGGCUGGCCAGCAACCAUAGGAUCACAUACUUGGUUUUCUUCUCUCUGAACAGCAGGAGGCUUGAGAUGUUAAUAGCUAACCAUGAAACAAUUGCCAGAGGAUGACUAACUGGAAGGGGAAACCCACACAAAGCACCAGAGACAGAAGGACUUGGGUUUGAAUCCCAACUAAAUCACCAGCUGUUUGGUUGGGCAGAUAUUUCCCCAAGCUCUCCCUGAAAAUGCAGGAGCACUGCCUUCCACCAUGAGUUCCCUGAGCAAGCACCAUCCCUAAACAUUCUUCACCCUUUCUGGAAGUUGCCAUCUGGUUGUGGAGCAGCACCCAUGGGUUCUCAUUUUCAAAUCUGUGGGAUCUGGUUAGAACACCACUUCUAAACAACUUGGCUUGGAACUUUUUGCUUUGGCCUUGAAAAGAGUACAUUCUGAUGAUUUUUUUUCUAAAGUUCCAUUAAAGUAAGGGCUUAGCCUCCAGUUUGGCACCGUUGGGAGGGAGUGUAAAGGGCUCUGGUGGGAGGUGUACAGGUUACUAGUGUUGUGCUUUUAAAGAGAAUACCAAUCUCUUCCUCUUUCCCUCUCUAAGAUGAUUGUAUCAGAUGUUUGUUAUAGUAACAGAAAGACUACCAAGACUCUUGUUGGUCAGCAGCCUUAAUUUCACAUGUUCAGAUAGUUGCAAAGUGGGACUCAGACAUCUUUGGGAGUGCCCUGAUUCUGCUGCAACAGAAAUGGGGGAAUGAUCAUCUGCUGGAAGAACCCACUCGUGUCUUCCCAGUUGUAGGUGAGGGGUGUUACUGCCAGGCCUCCAUCUCCCCCAACCAAUGGGUGGCGCUCAAGACAGAAGACUGACACAGCCCCUUGGGUCAAUGUCUGGAGUUAAAGGAAGCCCUUGGGGGCAUGCUCAGCCUCUGCAGUCUGGCCUGGCGGCCCAUGGAAAGGCUUUGCUCUCAGUGCUCGCUCUAAGCUGAGGCAUCCUUGAUACUUCUGGGACCUUCUGCUUGGGCCUGUUUGAGCCAGCUCUACAGUCGGAGCCCUUGAGCCACCCUAAGGAGACCAACUGUGGCGCUAGCCAGAUCAUUGCCUCAGGCCAUCUGCAGCUUGACAUUCCACAGAUGCCACGGUUGCUUAUGUAGGCUCCUCCAGUGACCAACAUCUCUCUUUGAAAUUUAUUAAGAAAUUCUCUGUAGGGCCUCUUUCACCAAAAGUGCAUUUAAUAAAGCUUGGAAUUUCCUCACAACACACAAUUUAGUUGAUAUAUUUUUAGGUCUCGGUUAUUACUCGGCUUCACUUUGCUUUGCAGGCUCGGGGCAGGCCAGCACAGCAGGACUGAAGAGGUUGUGGACAAUCUGAUUCUGGGUACCCAAGGCCUCAUGGGAAAGCAACUUUCUAGCCAUCAUUUAAGAAGCUUUUGAGUGAGCUGCCAACUUCCAUAAUUGUUCUUCCAAAAGGCAGGCAAAUUGCA